AAAACCACGAACAGAGACUGAAACCCGAUUUUUUUCCUCCUCUUCUCUCUUCAACCAAUUUCAUUCCCGUCACCUUCAUCUACUUUCCUUCUCCAUCAGCAAUAUAGUGAUUCAGUCAAAUUGUGGGUUUCUAUCACUGUCAAGGAGAGAUUUUGGUGAUGAAUUCAGAAUUUGAAAACUAGGGUUUCAUUAAUAAAGGAUAUAUAUUUGACUGGACUGAAAUUACGACCAUUGCUUUGAUGGUAACCUAUUGUAUCUGUUAACACAGGGCAAUGGGGCUCAUCUUCAAAAUAUCUGCACUGAAGCUGUGGAUGUUUGCAAUUCGUUUUCAAUGUGACUACCUUUAUGCAAGGGGCGUCACUUAGGCUGAUUUUCUUUGAUUAAAAUAGAUUUGGUUUGCCAAAAUAAGAUUUACGUUAAUCUAACUCAUG